UGCACCCUUAGCGCAACUGGAUAGAGUGUCUGACUACGAAUCAGAAGGUUGUAGGUUCGAGUCCUACAGGGUGCAUAAUCGGGAAGUGGCUCAGUUUGGUAGAGCACCUGGUUUGGGACCAGGGGGUCGCAGGUUCGAAUCCUGUCUUCCCGAUAGU
rnacentral:tRNA from 1 species